GAUGAAGAACGCAGCGAAAUGCGAUAAGUAAUGCGAAUUGCAGAAUUUCCGUGAGUCAUCGAAUCUUUGAACGCACAUUGCGCCCGCCAGUAUUCUGGCGGGCAUGCCUGUUCGAGCGUCAUUUCAACCAUCAAGCCCCAGGCUUGUGUUGGGGACCUGCGGCUGCCGCAGGCCCUGAAAACCAGUGGCGGGCUCGCUGUCACACCGGGCGUAGUAGAUUUUAUCUCGCUCAGGGCGUGCUGCGGGUUCCGGCCGUUAAAAAGCCUUUUUUACCCAAGGUUGACCUCGGAUCAGGUAGGAAGACCCGCUGAACUUAAGCAUAUCAAUAAGCGGA
rnacentral:misc_RNA from 1 species